AGGAGAAUUGAUGCAGUGCAACAAAAUCAUUCAUUGAAAUAUGCAUAUCACCAGCUAUUUAAAAUAAGAAACAACAUCGUCUUACAUUUUUAGUUGUCAUAAUUUAAAAAUUCAAAUAAUAUGCGUCCAUUAUUUAUGUGGAAUAUUUUGCUUGCAUUUAUAACAUUAUUUUCAAGUGCAAUUGUGUGUUUACCAAUUAGUCAAUCGAGUGAUUUUGCAGGGGAUGGAAAAUUAACUCAGUUUCUGGAACACCUUAAGAGGCCUCUAAAAGGAUAACUCAAUAAAUCUUAUCUUAUCUUAAGUUCCAGUCUGUCAAUGAAGUUAAAUUGAAAACUAGGAAAUCCCGACAAGCAUUUCCACUAAUUAUUUAUGGAGGAUGCUAUCCUCCAGUCUAUGGUGCUGGGAGUGGUUUAACUCAAUCCCAAGGGUUCAAACCACAACUACGAUAACUUAGUCCGGGAUGCGAAUGUGCUAAGGAACCCUGUACUCCAAGACCAUUUUGCUAACCAGAGGGAGGAUAGUGGGAUAAUCAGACCAUGUUAUAUAUAUGUUAUAUUUAAGUAUAUAAAGUUACGGUUUCCACAUAAAUAUUGUUCGGGCUGAAUAGGCAAUUAAUAAAUGAAGUUUGCCUCAUCAAA